rnacentral:lncRNA from 1 species
GUUUUAGUUGCAGUCAUGUUUACUGUUCCCAACUGAAUAAGCAUUACUCUUAGAUUUAACUUUGUUGUGAGAAGACUUACAGUUCAUAAUUUCAAUCUCUUUCUACAAACGCUGGAGACAGAAAGUACUGCCUGGGAUUGAAAACAUACAGCUCUCCAGUUCUGCUUUGGAUGUCAGAUGGUGCGGGGGCAAAUAGAGUCAAUCAGCAUUCUCUUUCAUCAUCCCUGAUGUUGCUAAGAAUUCCUUAAAUUGUAAUGGCCCUCUAAGGAUGUCUAUAUUGCUCUUGACAACCCACGUACAUCACAGCUAGUGACAUAUACAUCAGCUAAUACUAAAGAGACGACCCCACUGGAGAAAACCCACAGCAAGUGGGUUUCUGCAGUGCAAGGUAAGACAACUCAGUCUGCUCAUUCAUUCUAGCUGGUAAGGAACAAUCAGUCCAGAAGGUCUCAGUGUCAAAAGCCAUAUUCAAUCAGAAAUUUGCACUGGCAUUGUUAAUGUAUGCAAGCUGUUUCAAAAUGGAAAACAGCCCCAAAUACAUUUGCAAAUGUAUGAGUAUGUAUAUAGAAUUUCAACUCUAUGCUUUGUAUUAGUUAUGACACAACCAUUUUGCUCAGUUUUGUUCCUUCCAUUCUGCAAUUGCUGUAAACUUUGGCAACUAAACCUUCGAGAGAAAUUACCAGGCACAAUGAGUUAAUUGAUUCAUUUAUUGAUUGCCUGAAAGCAUGCAGCAUUAGCAGUUCCUCUCAUUCAUCUCUUUUUGUCUUUGACAGAAUAUACAAUGAAACGUCACUGGAUGAACUACCAGAGGUUCAUUCCAUUCCAUUGUCUUUUUAAGCUGUUUUGCUUGUGGAAGAUGUACUGAAGCAGAUGACUGCCAGCAGCAAAUACUGAUUCAGCCUGUUUAAGGAAGCUUACACUUACUGAGCUCCACUGGACUUGUGAUGGAGGUAACAGUCUCUUAAGAAGAAGAUGAUGUCCCCACAAGUGUUUGAAACUCCUCAGGAAACAGGAUAUGCUCUAUCAAAAGAAGAGAAAAAUUACCAUUCUGUCUGUGUCCUCAAGAUGAGCUUCCAGGAAGAAGCACUGCAAAGUUGUUCACCCUUUGGCAUUAUACAGUCUACUUUCUCUUCCCAGUCACAUAUUUUUCUAAGGCGUAUUUAUGCACACACACAAAAUGUGAUUGUCUGAAUAUUACACUCAUAGGAAUGCAGACCAAAAGAAUAAUUUUUUUUGCUACUCUUGGAAAGGUAUUUCAAAGCACCAUAAAGCUUUGAGUGUUUCACAGCAGGGCUAAUGAAACAUAUUAGUUAGAAGCUGAAAGUAAUUUUAGUUUGCAUCGACAAGUUGAGCUUAAGUUCUGUUGAUCUUUCCUUCUUUUUUUCUUUUUUCUUUUCCCUUGAGCCAUCUGACCAUUCAACUAUUUCUCUGGGUUGUUCCCCUCUCCACUUCGCAUCUUACCUUUUUCCAAUAAUACAGUCUGAAAUAGUAACAAAGCACAAGCUUGU